GUAAAGAAAUAAAAACAACAGUAAAAAGACAGUCAAAAAUAACAGUAGCGAGGCUACAUACAGUAGUGAGGCUAUAACAGUAGAGGCUACAUACAGUAGUGAGGCUACAUACAGUAAUGAGGCUAUAACAGUAGAGGCUACAUACAGUAGUGAGGCUACAUACAGUAGUGAGGCUACAUACAGUAGUGAGGCUAUAACAGUAGUGAGGCUAUAACAGUAGUGAGGCUACAUACAGUAGUGAGGCUACAUACAGUAGUGAGGCUAUAACAGUAGUGAGGCUAUAACAGUAGUGAGGCUACAUACAGUAGUGAGGCUAUAACAUGUAGUGAGUGCAAUGCAAAUAGUCCGGGUAGUCAUUUGGUUACCUGUUCAGGAGUCUUAUGGCUUGGGGGUAAAAACUAUAAUUACUAAGAUGGUAUCCAGGGCAGGCUGAGUGUCAUAAUGUAACUAGGAGUAAAUAUGUGAGCCAUGGAGGGUAAAGGCUACACCUGAACCAUGGAGACGUGGACUGGGGCCUUCCAUCCACAUUCUCCAUUUCCCAGCAUGAAUGAUACAUAAUUUUGUCACUCACAUGGCCUGGUUGUUUAUGGUGUUAUGAAAUUCUCCUUUUAGAAUUGAUAUUAAUCAAAUAGAGCAAGUUGUUAAAAAGAUGUAGAGAUUUGGGUCAGAGUUGGAGAGGGUUGAUUAGGUUUUAAUUCCUAUUAGUUGCUUUGGCUGUGGAAUUUGUCCAUGAGAAUAGUUUAAUUCCUGAAUUGUCCUUAACCCUGAUUGACGUCAAACCUGUUUACAGAUGUUCUGGCCAAUGGGUAUGUGAUGAAAUUAUUUUGAACUACGUAUUUUUGCUUGUUGCUAACUGUGAAAUUGAAGUGUCAACAAAACAUGUCACAAUGAAUAGGGGAAAAACCCAAACAAGUAUAAGCUCACUUUGACUGUAAGUACAGAAUAUUUCCAUCAUUCAGGAAGCAAUAGGUUGUCAAAUACAACCGUGCUAAUAUAUGCAGUUCCUCCUUGUCAAAUUAUUUCGGGGCUUCUAUUGAGUGCGUAAUCAUUCGGAACAAACAGCGCCAUUCACAUCAGCCCCACGUGUCCAUUGACAUGGGAAUGACUGUCUUUCCCUCAAUUAUACACACGACAAUUGAACGCAGAAUGUGACCCACUGCAUGAAUAUGUUGACCGCUGUCCAUGUUCCCUUGUUCUCUCUCUCUCUCUAUUUCUCUCUCGUCAGAUGUCAGGAAUUUCCCAGUGAAACUAUUCUAUGGACUGAGGCCAACACAAAAGGGCAGCCAUCUCUCUCUAUUUCCUUCUCUCGUUCCUUCUUCUUCUCCUCUAGGAUUUCACCAUCAGCAUGCUGUUUUCCAGGAUGCAAAACAGGAUUCCCUUUUUCAAAUCUUUUUCUGCCACCGCUAUCAUUUUAGAACAUGACAUCGCAAUGACAUUCAUAGUAUGUCGCUGCAAGGCUUAUUGGUUCAUUUGAGAGUAAGAGGUGACAUGUUGUGGGGACAGAGCCACAAACAUGAACACAAAAUGGCUGCUGCUGACCCAUAUCACCCCACAUGCACCUGGGGAGUCAGACAUAGUGAAUCCUGACCCCUUGAGCCUGCUAGUCAUGAGUUCCCCAUCCCCUCUCUCUCUCUCUCCUGCCACAGCACCAUGCAGACUCUUGUGACAGCGACAGGAGCAGACACAUUAGUGCAGCCGGUCACAUGGCAGGUUAAAACAGGAGUGUAUGUCUCACUGUGGUUAAUAGAUGGACAUGUGAGUUCUAUUUUCCACAGAGCUAUGUCAGCCCCUAUGGCCCAUAGCCCUGGAUGGGAGAGAUGGGAC
ensembl:lncRNA